UCUAAGGGGACUAUCGGCUCAGCCGAUGGAAGUGCGCGGCAAUAACAGGUCUGUGAUGCCCUUAUAUGUUCUGGGCCGCACGCGCGCUACACUGACAGGGCCAGCGAGUACAUCACCUUGGCCGAGAGGUCUGGGUAAUCUUGUUAAACCCUGUCGUGCUGGGGAUAGAGCAUUGCAAUUAUUGCUCUUCAACGAGGAAUGCCUAGUAGGCACGAGUCAUCAGCUCGUGCCGAUUACGUCCCUGCCCUUUGUACACACCGCCCGUCGCUACUACCGAUUGAAUGGCU
rnacentral:rRNA from 1 species